GCCUGGGUGGCUCAGUCGGUUGAGCAUCCGACUUCGGCUCAGGUUAUGAUCUCGCGGUCUGUGAGUUCGAGCCCCGCGUCAGGCU
rnacentral:tRNA from 1 species